rnacentral:pre_miRNA from 1 species
CUAGUACUCCCUUCGUUCCAUAAUUCUUGUCGAAAUAUUGCAUGUAUCUAGACGCUUUUUAGGAAUAGAUGCAUCCAUUUUUGGGCAAAUUUGAGACAAGAAUUAUGGAAUGGAGGGAGUAUUAA